UUUAGGCACACAUACACACACACACACACACACACACACCCCUCAUGUAACCACAACCCUGAUCAAGAUACGAAACAUUUCCUACAUCCAGAAUGUGCCAUUGCGUUUCUUCCAGCCAAUACCCCACACUCCAGGUUUAACCACGGUUCCGACCUCUAUCCACCAUGGCUUCUUUUUGCCUGUUCUUGAACUUCAUAUAAAAUAGAAUCCUACGGUGUACUUUUGAACGUCUGGUUUCUUUCAUAUAAAACAUGAUACUUUGAGAUCCAUCCAUGUCAUUUUAGGUAGAUUUUAAAAACUGCAGUUGAAAAUUCUGGAAUAGAAAAUUAUUCCUGGCUUUUAAAAAUAGACACGCCAUGCACAGGAAGGAUGGGGAGAUUUUCUAGGUCAGCAGAGGGUGCAGCGGUGUCUCCUCUGAGACUGGAGAUCUUGAUUCAAGCUGCAGAAUGUGACUGUGUGGCUGAUCCAAAGAUUUUAUGAACGUUUGCAGGAAUUGAAUCACUGCUGCUCAGAAAUUGCCAGGACAUCUGCUUUCCAUCACUGUCCCCAGGGAACCAGGCUCUCUGACAUUGCAGUCACCUCCACCUCUCUCCUUAGCCAUGGCUCUCGAACGCUUUUGGAGACAUUUAGAAAAGGAGUUGACACAGAAGCAUCAUGCUGGAUGAAGACUGCUUUUCAGAAGACUUCGCCAUUCCAGCCUGUUGAGCCUAAGGGUUUCAAACACGUCUCCCCACCCGCCAGUCACUGCUUGUCCUGAUUCAAAGAGACUUGAAUCUAUCCAAGGAGGUGGAUAGAGAGCAGCUUGUCAUUGGUCAGACGUGGUCGUUUUUGCAGUCCAGGCACUGGGACAGAAGCCAGCAAGCAAACUGAUCUCAAAGGAGUUUGGAAUCAAGAACAUGAGCUACUGAGAGAAGAUGAUUGCUUGACCCGAGGUCUCCUAGAAUUGAGUAAAUCAAAGCCACCUUGACUGCAGAGCUACGGUGGCGUGGAGAAGCCACCACUUUGCCAGGAGAGAUGCAGAAGAAUGAAACAGAUGCGGGCAGAGAAGACAAGCCACGUGAUUUCAUUCAAGGUAAGGGAGUAGCUUCAAUCCUGAGUUCAGUUCCAGCCUAGGGCGGCCUAUUUUUCAUGUCCCUGAAUUCUAAGAGCUUCUCUGGAGUAAACUUCAGCUAACUCCCAUGUCUCUUGAGCUAGUUUGAGUUUGAGUGCGUCUCUCUUCCUUGCAAUAAACCUGACAUUAGCUCUGCCUCUCCUGCAGAGUGAACUCCUGGAGCCCCAUGAAGGCUCUUUGACAGUGACCCUCAAAGAAAGAUCUGCAGCCCCCCACAGAGAUGCACAGACCCUUAGGGAUCUGCAAAACUGAGCUAUUCUUAUGAUAAUACUAAGCAUGAUGUUACCAAAUCGUGAAUGGGUAAAAGAUCUAUUCAAAGUGUGAGGUGGGUUUAUGGAUUUAAUGUGACAUAUGAAAAAUUAUUGACACAGUUUGAAAUUUCUCAUUCCAAGUAACAUUUAAGAAAUUACCACUUUUAAGCUUUGGUGUAGUAUCAAAGAAUAUCCGCAAUUAUCUGGAAAGGAGUAUCUAAAAUACUCUUGCCUAUACCAACUACAUAGCUAGUACGGAUGGAUUUUUUCAUGCACUUCAGCUAAAACAACAGAUGGAAUGCGGAAGGAGAGAUGAGAAUAUACUUGGCUUCUGUUGAACCAGAUAUUCAAGAUAUUUUAUUGCUUUAAAUGAAUUCACAAAUACUUUAAUUAAAUAUCGCAGUUUUGGGCCAGGCAUGGUGGCUCACGCCUGUAAUGCCAGCACUUUGGGAGGCCAAGGCGGGC